rnacentral:rRNA from 1 species
AUUGAACGCUGGCGGCAGGCUUAACACAUGCAAGUCGAACGAGUGGCGGACGGGUGAGUAAUGUCUGGGAAACUGCCUGAUGGAGGGGGAUAACUACUGGAAACGGUAGCUAAUAACGCAUACCAUCAGAUGUGCCCAGAUGGGAUUAGCUUGUUGGUGGGGUAACGGCUCACCAAGGCGACGAUCCCUAGCUGGUCUGAGAGGAUGACCAGCCACACGGGAACUGAGACACGUUCCAGACUCUUACGGAAGGCAGCGGUGGGGAAGAUUGCACAAUGGGCGCAAGCCGAAUGCAGCCAUGCCGCGUGUAUGAAGAAGGCCUUCGGGUUGAAAAGUACUUUCAUCGGGGAGGCGUGACCCGCAGAAGAAGCACCGGCUAACUACGUGCCAGCCGCCGCGGUAAUAC